rnacentral:rRNA from 1 species
AUUGAACGCUGGCGGCAUGCCUUACACAUGCAAGUCGAACGGCAGCACGGGAGCAAUCCUGGUGGCGAGUGGCGAACGGGUGAGUAAUGUAUCGGAACGUACCUUUCAGUGGGGGAUAACGUAGCGAAAGUUACGCUAAUACCGCAUAUUCUGUGAGCAGGAAAGCAGGGGAUCGCAAGACCUUGCGCUGAUUGAGCGGCCGAUAUCAGAUUAGCUAGUUGGUGGGGUAAAGGCCUACCAAGGCGACGAUCAGUAGCUGGUCUGAGAGGACGACCAGCCACACUGGGACUGAGACACGGCCCAGACUCCUACGGGAGGCAGCAGUGGGGAAUUUUGGACAAUGGGCGAAAGCCUGAUCCAGCCAUGCCGCGUGCAGGAAGAAGGCCUUCGGGUUGUAAACUGCUUUAGUCUAGGAAAAAGGGGUGCGAGGUUAAUACCCUCGUGCUUUGAUGGUACUGGAAGAAUAAGCACCGGCUAACUACGUG